UUUUCAGAAUUCAUGUUUCAUGAAUUUUCGGAUAUCUGAUCAAAUGUUGCUCAGCCUGUGGUUUCUGUUAUAUUAAUGAUCAUUUUUUUAGUUUUUGAUAGGGCAUUGUCUCUGAUCUGAAUUCUAGGUGGAGCCAAAACGCAGGAAGAGGUGACUGAUCACGAUGCUUGCUAUGGAGGGAGCAGUUCAUCUCAAAGAGCUUAAUCCACAUUUCCUGCCUCUUCCAAAAUAUGUUUCUCAAAUCUCACCUGGACCAAACUAUGACUAUUAUUCGUCAACUAUGCGCUUUACAAUAUCAUCACCUGUGGCAUGGCUCCUUGCUCUAGUUAUUUUACCCGCAAGGUCAAAUAUGAUGAUAUGUGUUGGAUUAAUCACCUACUUGGCUCUAGUAUCUGUCUUAAUCACCUAAAUUAAAUAUACAUAUGGCUUUCGGCUUUGCUUCAGUAAUUGAUUUAAGGGUUGGACUGCAGCUGGCUUCAUCACUAGUUUUUAUUUUAUUUUAUUUUAUUUUACUUUUUAUGUUUUUGGUGUUUUUGUUAGUUGGUUUCUUGCCAAAUUAACAAUUAGAUAUUAAUUUUGUUUAAUCUUCUGUUAUGUAUGGAAUUAUAUUUUUGAGAUUGGAUUAUACUUGAUUUGUAUAGAAUUUUUUUUGGAAAUAUUAAUUUGAUGUUAAAUAUGA